rnacentral:rRNA from 1 species
UACGGAGGUGGCGAGCGUUUGUCCGAAGUUACUGGGCGUAAAGCGCGCGUAGGCGGGGGAUUAAGUGAGAAGUGAAAGGCUGGGGCUCAACUCCAUGCAGUGCUUCUCAUACUGGUCUUCUUGAGGGGGGUAGAGAGAAGUGGAAUGGCUGGUGUAGCGGUGAAAUGCGCAGAUAUCGGGAAGAACACCCGUGGCGAAGGCGGCACUCUGGGACGGUACUGGACGCUGAGACGCGAAAGCGUGGGGAGCGAACAGG